UGGGGAAUAUUGGACAAUGGGCGAAAGCCUGAUCCAGCCAUGCCGCGUGUGUGAAGAAGGUCUUCGGAUUGUAAAGCACUUUAAGUUGGGAGGAAGGGCAGUAAGCGAAUACCUUGCUGUUUUGACGUUACCGACAGAAUAAGCACCGGCUAACUCUGUGCCAGCAGCCGCGGUAAUACAGAGGGUGCAAGCGUUAAUCGGAAUUACUGGGCGUAAAGCGCGCGUAGGUGGUUCGUUAAGUUGAAUGUGAAAGCCCCGGGCUCAACCUGGGAACUGCAUCCAAAACUGGCGAGCUAGAGUAGGGCAGAGGAUGGUGGAAUUUCCUGUGGAGCGGUGAAAUGCGUAGAUAUUGGAAGGAACACCAGUGGCGAAGGCGACCACCUGGGCUCAUACUGACACUGAGGUGCGAAAGCGUGGGGAGCAAACAGG
rnacentral:rRNA from 1 species